CAGUAGCCACGGGAAUACGGAGGGUGCAAGCGUUAAUCGGAAUUACUGGGCGUAAAGCGUGCGUAGGCGGUUCGUUAAGUCUGUUGUGAAAGCCCCGGGCUCAACCUGGGAAUGGCAAUGGAUACUGGCGAGCUAGAGUGUGUCAGAGGAUGGUGGAAUUCCCGGUGUAGCGGUGAAAUGCGUAGAGAUCGGGAGGAACAUCAGUGGCGAAGGCGGCCAUCUGGGACAACACUGACGCUGAGGCACGAAAGCGUGGGGAGCAAACAGGAUUAGAUACCCCAGUAGUCCCUGUCUUUAUACA
rnacentral:rRNA from 1 species